GAUGAACGCUGGCGGCGUGCCUAAUACAUGCAAGUCGAACGGAUAGCGAAAGGUGCUUGCACCUUCCAGGUUAGUGGCGAACGGGGGAGUAACAGGGUGACAACCUCUCUCAAGGCGGGGGAUAACAGGUGGAAACAGAUACUAAUAGCUAAUAAAACUUACUGUAUGAUGGCGCUUGGAUAAAUUGGGCUGCUGCGUCACGAAGAGAGGGAUCCGCGCUGCAUUAGUUAGUUGGUGGGGUAAAGGCCUACCAAGACGAUGAUGCAUAGCCGAGUUGAGAGACUGAUCGGCCACAUUGGGACUGAGACACGGACCAAGCUCCUACGGGAGGCUGCAGUAGGGAACUUUCCACAGUGGGCGAAAACCUGAUGGAGCAACGCCGAGUGUGUGAUGAAGGCUUUCGGGUCGUAAAGCACUGUUGUAUGGGAAGAACAGCUAGAACAGGAGAUGAUUUUAGUUUGACGGUAACAUAUAAGAAAGGACCGGCUAACUACGUG
rnacentral:rRNA from 1 species